rnacentral:lncRNA from 1 species
GUAAUGGGAUUGCUGGGUCAGAUGUUAUUUUUAGUUCUAGAUCCUUGAGAAAUAUCCACACUGUCUUCCACAAUGGUCAAAUUAAUUUACACUCCAACCAACAGUGUAAAAGCAUUCCUGUUUCUCCACAUCCUCUCCAGCAUCUAUUGUUUCCUGACUUUUUUUUUUGACCUCUGAACUUUUUAUUGGCCUUCUGCUCCCCCAAGGGUCCCCUGCUUCUGCUGGCCUAAUGUCUCAGAACUUUGGUGUCGUUGGUCUCAGACACCACUUUGCCAUCCACUAUCCCGCGGGUGGUCGUCUUUUGGAUGGUUUGCGUGGAGUUGCUGCUGCUGUUCAAGGCAUCACUGAGACUGAAGUCCUCCCCAUCUUCCAGCAGGCGACGGUGCUCCCGGAUUUUGCUCUCCAGCUUCCGGUUCUCGGUCUCCAGGCUCCUGACUCUGUCCAGGUAGGAGGCCAGGCGGUCGUUCAGGAUUUGCAUGGUCUCCUUCUCGUUCUGGAUGCCUCCCAUUCCUGCCAGACCCCUGGCCAGGCCCCCGACACCCAUGCCGCUCCGGACGCUGGUGGAGCGCUUCACGGAGACGCGGGAACCAGAGCCCCCGGCGCCUGCAUAGACGCUGUCCGCGCUGCUGACCGGCCGGGCACCAUAGCUGGGCACCCGGACGGAGCCCACGGACCGGUAGUUGGUGGAAAAGGAGGAGCGAGUGGUGAAGCUCAUGCUGCCUGGGGAGGAGAGCGAGAGGACAGGACUCAGGCUUCGCAGACGACCGUUUCCUGACUUUUUAAUGAAUGCCAUUCCAACUGGCCUGAGAUGGCAUCUCAUUGUGGUUUUGAUUUGCAUUUAUCUAAUGACCAGUCAUGAUGAGCAUUUUUUCAUAUGGCUGUUGGCUGCAUAAAGGUAUUCUUUAGGGAUGUGUCUGUUCAUUUCCUUUGCCCACUUUUUGAUGGGGUUGUUUUUUUUUCUUGUAUUUUUGUUUAAGUUUUUUGUAGAUUCUGGAUAUUAGCCCUUUGUCAGAUGGGUAGAUUGCAAAAAUUGUCUCCCAUUCCAUAAGUUGCCUGUUCACUCUGAUGAUGAUUUC